ACGUGGAGAGUGUAAUGCACCGGAUCACAUCAAAACUCCGCAGUUAAGCGUGCUUGGACGAGAGUAGUACUAGAAAGAGUUGUAUCGGUUCAUGCUUAGCACCAGAUGCGUGUCGUCGGCU
rnacentral:rRNA from 1 species